rnacentral:rRNA from 1 species
GACGAACGCUGGCGGCGUGCCUAAUACAUGCAAGUAGAACGCAGUUGCGAACGGGUGAGUAACGCGUAGGUAACUGCCUCAUAGCGGGGGAUAACUAUUGGAAACGAUAGCUAAUACCGCAUACUGUGAGAUGGACCUGCGUUGUAUUAGCUAGUUGGUGAGGUAAAGGCUCACCAAGGCGACGAUACCUAGCCCACCUGAGAGGGUGAUCGGACAAACUGGGACCUAGACACGGCCCAGAAUCCUACGGGAGGCAGAAGUAGGGAAUUGUCGGAAAUGGACGGAAGUCUGACCGAGCAACGCCGCGUGAGUGAAGAAGGGUUUCGGAGCGUAAAGCUCUGUUGUUAGAGAAGCGGUAACUAAACAGAAAGGGACGGCUAACUACGUGCCAGCCGCCGCGGUAAUUC